rnacentral:lncRNA from 1 species
AAAUUUACCCAUCCAGUAUCCUUUUUAUAUUCUUUUUAAACUCAUCUCAUAAUUCUCGUUUGUUUCAUUACCUUAUUAGAGGUCAAAAGUGCCUAUGACAAGGACUUAAUUAUUUCCUAAUGAAAAGCAAAAAAAAAAAAAAAGACCCCACAAAAACCUGUGGGGAACAGGGUAGUGUUGCACUGUCAUCUCAGGUAUGCCUGUGUUGAAGAGUGCACCUGGUGUAAUAAGAAGCCGCUCCAGGCCCAAGUUCCUAUCAGUUUCUCUCCUUGGUAUCCACAGGGAGUGCGACCGCAAGGUUGCCUGGACUAAAAGCCAUGCUGAGAAUGAGAAGUGUGUUGGUGACAGUUUGUCCUUUUCAGGUGCCAGUCAGCUGACCUGCUCCCGUCCUUGUAGGUGGCUGGGUAGAAGCCAGGCCUGGUGGACCUUACCCUAAUGUCCAUGCUUCGGGCACAUGGGUUCCCUGGUUGAAAGGGAGAAGGUACUCUCAGUCCAACUACUGAGAGAAAGGAGCUAGGAGUCCCUGAAGCUUAGAGAAGGUGGCUGGCUGUUGGGAGCAGGUGAAAAGAUCCUGUAAGGACAGUGUUGUAAAGGUGGGCCUUAAGAGCUCAUACUUCUAAGGAUGAAACUAGGGGACACUAAGUUCCUGUUGCAAAUGCCUGGAGAGGACACUGCCCCUGGCUGGGGUCCUGUGGCCCUUGAAAGGUAGUUGCCAAGCGCCUCAGGGAAACAAUCUAGGUCUCCAGGAGCUAAUGUGUCAGCAGAGCUACUUGGGGGACAGGAAGGAUAGAAAGAGUUUAUAUGUGCAUUGAGAUAAAUGUAGGAGCCAGUUAACUUUCUGUUAACACCAGUUAAGAUUCCCAGACACCACAGGGAAGGGAGUUUCUAGGUAAGAGCUGGGGAGAGGUGGUUGCAGAAUGCCAGCCCUUCUGAAAGCAAAAGCAAGCAGGUGUCUUGAGCACACAAGAACCUGAAUUUGUCAGGGAGCUUAAUAAAUUAAAACUGAAGUGGGUUCUGUCUUUAAAAAAUAAGCCCAAGGGAGGUGGCCAAGAGUGCUUGCUUUUGCUAUGGCGGUCUUGGUUGUAGAACCUGGCAAGGAUGGAUUAUACAGCAGACGCAUACUUUGUGUCAACCAAUGUGCUACAAAUGUGACACUUGACCCUGAACUGCAUGUAUUGGGGAUUUUUAAAAGAAAAAACAAACUUUGAAUCAAUAAAUUAACAGUUUUUUCC